CGCGCUGUCACGCAGAGCCCGCCGCGCCGCGCCGCGCGGGUCCCCGCCCCGCCGUCAGCUGUCAGCGCUCCCCGCCGCCAUCCGUCAGUGGCUUGUCAGCCCUGCCAAUCCGCCCUGAUUUAUGUCAGCUUUUGUUGCUGAUUACAAGCCUGGCAAAACGUGUUAAUCAAUCUUUUACUUUUGUUUCCGGAUCUGACAUGGUGGCCCACACAAUCUACAACAUUAACAAAAAGGUCACUUAGAGAUAAAACACGUUUGACAAGUGAAGAACAAGCGCGGAACGUGUCGCCGGAACGUGUCGGUGCAGGGCAGAGCCGGGCUUCCGUGUCGCCGUGCCCGCUGUGUUCUUCCGAGGCCGUGACAGUGAAAGGAUCGGGGGGCAGAGGGAGAAGCAUCGCACAAAAGCUGCCGCCGCUGCAGCGGGACUGACAACCCGCACCGUGCCCGAGUGGGCUGGCAGAUAUUUGAGGAGGAGAGGAGAGCGAGACCGAGAGAGGAAAAAAAGUUUGAAAAUGCCUUGAACUAUUCACUGUCGAGAUGGCUAAUCAGUAUUGAGGCUCGAGGGCACUCGGGCAGCUUUUCAAUGCGGUUUUCCUUUCAUCUCAAGCUGGAUGGAGGCGCUCAAUUAAAAGCCUAUCAGUUUGUCAGGCUGGCGAGCUGCAAAGCCUGGUCGGGAUCACCCAAAAACCCGGAGCGAGCCUUCCCUCGGGAGAGGGAACUGCAGCAGCUCGGCACCAGCCCUGCCGGCUCUCUCCCUUGCCACUUCAGCGUCAGCUUCUGUACAUCACGCUGGGAAAGGGCGUUUGGUCUUUUAAACUGAGCAGCCACUGCCCUGCAGGCCCUCGAGAUUGUUUUUUUCCUUCCUUUCCACCCCCUUCUCCCUUCUAUCGCUUCGGAACAAGGUUCAGCUUUUAAUUAACAGAGACCCGGUUGCUGAGUUGUCCCUGUGCUGUAUUUCUGUGCUCAGCACAGCUACCUGUCUGUCCUGGGCGGCAGUUUCCUUUGCUUUGGGAGCGCUGGCGCUUCCCCACCCGCCCCACGGCUCCUACAGAGGUACCAUGCAUUGCAGUGGGGGCUGUGAACGAUGCGUCUCCUGCCAUUAUUUUUUUCCCCUUUCAAAAAAUGGUAAUACUUCUGAUAAGGAACAUUCUGCCGUAUCGGAAAUACCGCACCACGAUUUUCACCACGAUUCACAAUGAAUUUCACACGUUUGGGGAAGGGACAGCGUGUUUUUCCUCUUCUUUUUUUCUUUCAAUUCUUAUUUUUUUCCCCCAUGUGAGUGUGGGGGCACUCACUCACAUAACAGCCCGGUACUCAGAUAACAGCCCAGGUACCCGGCCGAGGCGCGGGGCAUUUCUUGUUGUCAAAGCGCUGCCCUGAAUGCCAACAGAAAAGAGGAUUUCCAAACCUCUCCUCUGUUUGCAUAGCGCUCGAAAAUAUUUACCCUUAUGAUUGUAAUUACUUUCCUAAUAUAUAUGAGAAAGAUAUAUUUUGCUCCGCAUGACAUGUAGGUAAUCGUCUUACGAGCGGGGAUAAAUUUGGAGCCAUCUUCAAAAUAACAGUCACGUUGAAGUGCACAAGACUUUAUUUUUUUCCUUCCCAAUGAUAUUUUUUUGCAAAACGAGCAGAAAAUCGCUUUUCUGUUUGUUUGUUCGCUUCUUCCUUCCGGAAGCGGACCUUCUCUUAAAGGCUUUCAAAGGAAUUCGCCCGAUUUUCUUCCCUUUGUCACAUCAAGAGAGAAGGAAGCGACGAACACACCCAAUAAAGCCCUUUUCCUUUUAAGCCAUUUGAUAGAUUCCUUUAUUGAUGCUGGGAGUUUCGUGUAUGAGUGUGAAGGUUGUAACCCCCGCGCUGAAGCCCUUUCGCCAGAAGUGCCCUCUGUUACGUUCCAGGUGUCGUCUGGGCGAGCAGCUCUCCUUUCAAACCCGCCCUGAGGGAACUUUCUGGAGGGAGCGGGCGAGAGCAGAGCCAGGCGGCUCCGGCGGCGCGGCACGGGCAGGGCACGGCUCCUUCCAGGCGCACCGACAUCCUCGGUUGCAUUUCACGUUGUGCAAUGUGCUGCGAUUUAACCGAGCAGCCGAAAGCGAGCGAGCGCGUUCCCUAAUCGGUGCACGUGUAGUUGAGCUGGCGCUCGCCGCCCGGCUUGUGGGAACGAAGCUUUAGCUUCUGCGGCACCUUGCUCUGACCCUCGAGUCCCACGGCUCGUCCUCACGCCUUUGUGCUCAUCCCCGCCAGGGCUCCGGGAGAGGCUGACCCGAGCAGCGCCCGGCGCCGGUUGGCGCAGCGCCGCAGAGCGCAGCG
ensembl:lncRNA